AAUGGACGAAAGUCUGAUCCAGCUAUGCCGCGUGCAGGAUGACGGCCUAUGGGUUGUAAACUGCUUUUAUACAGGAAGAAACCUUCGACGUGUCGAAGCUUGACGGUACUGUAAGAAUAAGGAUCGGCUAACUCCGUGCCAGCAGCCGCGGUAAUACGGAGGAUCCAAGCGUUAUCCGGAAUCAUUGGGUUUAAAGGGUCCGCAGGCGGUUUUUUAAGUCAGAGGUGAAAUCCUGCAGCUCAACUGUAGAAUUGCCUUUGAUACUGAAAGACUUGAGUUAUUGUGAAGUGGUUAGAAUGUGUGGUGUAGCGGUGAAAUGCAUAGAUAUCACACAGAAUACCAAUUGCGAAGGCAGAUCACUAACAAUAUACUGACGCUCAGGGACGAAAGCGUGGGUAGCGAACAGGAUU
rnacentral:rRNA from 1 species